AUGGUUGUCGUCAGCUCGUGUCGUGAGAUGUUGGUUAAGUCCCGCAACGAGCGCAACCCUACUUGCUAGUUACCAUCAUUAAGUUUGGGGACUCUAGCGAGACUGCCAGUGAUAAACUGGAGGAAGGUGGGGAGUGACGUCAAAUCAUCAUGCCCCUUAUGACCUGGGCUACAAACGUGAUACAAUGGCUGGAACAAAGGGAUGCGAAGCAGUGAUGUGGAGCGAAACCCAUAAAAACAGUCUCAGUUCGGAUUGAAGUCUGCAACUCGACUUCAUGAAGUCGGAAUCGCUAGUAAUCGCGGAUCAGAACGCCGCGGUGAAUACGUUCUCGGGGUUU
rnacentral:rRNA from 1 species